ACAGGGCCCCCCUGAAUGAGGACGUGUUCACUCCCCCGGCCCCCAGCCCAGCUCCGUCCCUGGAAACUGAUAUCCAGGAGCUGUCAGAGCAGAUCCACCGGCUGCUGCUGCAGCCGGUGCACAGCCCCAGCCCCACAGGACUAUGUGGAGUCGGCCCCAUGACAUCCCCAGGCCCUCUCCACAGCCCUGGGUCCUCCAGUGAUAGCAACGGGGGUGAUGCAGAGGGGCCUGGGCCUCCUGCGCCAGUGAGUGACCUGCUCCUACCUCACCCUCUAAUCGCCCUUUCCCCUCUCCUUCUUGGAACCAGCACUGUCAGUCCCAGAGUCUUGCCCGAUCCUCCUUUGCCCUCUCCUUCCUGCCUUUUCUUCUUGUCCUGCUUCCAUCAAGGUGUCUGUGCCUCCCCACUGGCACCUUCUUGUUUUAUUGUGCCCUUGGCCCCUGACACUGGCGACACCCCCUGGUUCUGCUCACUGUGCUGCUGCGUCCCACAGGUGACUUUCCAGCAGAUCUGUAAGGAUGUGCAUCUGGUGAAGCACCAAGGCCAGCAGCUUUUUAUUGAGUCUCGGGCCCGGCCUCAGCCCCGGCCCCGCCUCCCUGGUGAGUUGAUGACGAUGUGUGGGUGAAG
rnacentral:sRNA from 1 species